UACGUAGGGUGCAAGCGUUGUCCGGAAUUAUUGGGCGUAAAGAGCUCGUAGGCGGUCUGUCGUGUCGGCUGUGAAAACCCGGAGCUCAACUCCGGGCCUGCAGUCGAUACGGGCAAACUGGAGUGUUGCAGGGGAGACUGGAAUUCCUGGUGUAGCGGUGAAAUGCGCAGAUAUCAGGAGGAACACCGGUGGCGAAGGCGGGUCUCUGGGCAACAACUGACGCUGAGGAGCGAAAGCGUGGGGAGCGAACAGG
rnacentral:rRNA from 1 species